rnacentral:rRNA from 1 species
GCUAGUAAUGGCAGGUCAGCAUACUGCCGUGAAUACGUUCCCGGGCCUUGUACACACCGCCCGUCACACCAUGAGAGUUGGGAAUACCCGAAGCCUGUGAGCUAACGAAAGAGGCAGCAGUCGAAGGUAGAAUCAAUGAUUGGGGUGAAGUCGUAACAAGGUACC